GGGUUAAGGAUCAAGCUCUGCCAGCUGAUCAGGUGACAGGAAGGGGAAGGCCAGAACCAUAUAAACCUCAAGUGGAGAAGGCUAAGAAGGUAGCAGAGAAGGAGAGUGCUGAUAACUAUGGAGCAGCUGUGGCAGCCUCCUUGGGAAGAAUAUGCCAGGCUGUUGGACAGAAGCACAAUCACAGGUGGUGAGCCUGGAACUUGUCUGGGAACCUGUGGGUCAGCCUCCUUCCUUUUUAAGAACCAAGUAACAAAGUCACGGCAGCCUAUUCUAGUCUGGCUUCAUCCAUCAGAAGAAGGAGAAAGAGCCAGGAGCUUGCUUCUCCCCUCUCUGCCAGAAAGAACACUCUGCUACUCAACUUGCUGCUCAGGUGCCCUGGGACUGCAGAGCCAAAGGGAAGUAUAGUCCAGCCUCUGUCAUCAGCCAAACAUCAUCAGUGUCAAACAACAAUUUCUCACUUCUGUGAGGGGGGGGGGGAAAUUCUAAAUGAAGGAUACCCAAGGAGAUGUGUGUGUCUAUACUACACAUGUUCCCAGAUCUGCAGGUGUUACUCAAGUUGUAAUUUCUGCAAUGAAUGUAUAAAGCAGGGCAUUUUCAAAUAAAUCCAUUGCUGCAUGUUUAGAUUUUUCCUCUACACACUUAAAAUCCAAAAGGAAGACUGGG